rnacentral:lncRNA from 1 species
CUUAUUGGGCUCCUGUCUGCAGGAUUUACGCGCACGUUGGAACCGAAGAGAGCUCUGUUGUUGCACCCACAAGAGCUUACUGGUGAAGGAAUGGGACAAGACCCAUCUUUAUGCAAAGCCAGCGUUACAGUAAUGUUCCAGGUAGGUGUACAUGGUUUAUGCUCUUACAGAGGAGACCUUGUAGAUAACCACUCCAUGAUGAACACAAAAUGACAAGCAUAUGGCUGAACUUUCAAGUGAUGUCAUCUUACUACUGAGAAGUGAGAGAGAGGUCUUAAGGGGUCUUUGAAUGACUAUUUUUAGGUACAUAAAAUGCUUUCCUCUGUUGUCUACAGCAUCUCAUAAUCUAUCCUGGGGAAUUCAGCUGCCUCCCAGGGUGAAUACAGGUAAUUAUCCAAAUUGGUGUAUGUCAUCUUUGUAAAUGUUCAAGAAAACAAGUGGCCGGCGGAACAAUGUUUUUUGGCGCCUUCCAUCUUGUUCCUCUUGAAAUGAUUUUCUGGGGAGGGAGAUCGCAACCCGGUACUACAGUUCUUGUAAGGGUGUGCUGUUACCCUCAUCCAUAUAUCGAUCACGUUACUGUCAGAUGAUUUGAAU